GUGAGGAAUAUUGGUCAAUGGGCGGGAGCCUGAACCAGCCAAGUCGCGUGAAGGAAGAAGGAUCUAUGGUUCGUAAACUUCUUUUGCAGGGGAAUAAAGUGCGGGACGUGUCCUGUUUUGUAUGUACCCUGAGAAUAAGGAUCGGCUAACUCCGUGCCAGAAGCCGCGGUAAUACGGAGGAUCCGAGCGUUAUCCGGAUUUAUUGGGUUUAAAGGGUGCGUAGGUGGUUUGAUAAGUCAGCGGUGAAAGUUUGCAGCUUAACUGUAAAAAUGCCGUUGAAACUGUCGGACUUGAGUGUAAAUGAGGUAGGCGGAAUGCGUGGUGUAGCGGUGAAAUGCAUAGAUAUCACGCAGAACUCCGAUUGCGAAGGCAGCUUACUAAGCUACAACUGACACUGAAGCACGAAAGCGUGGGGAUCAAACAGGAUUAGAAACCCUUGUAGUCC
rnacentral:rRNA from 1 species